UGGAACGGUUCAUGUAUUUGUAUCAAACCGAAACAGUACGGGCGUCACGGUUUGGUGCAUGAAUUUACACGGAGAAUACACGGUAUAAAAAUAAAUAAAACUUGCGUGCAAAUGUUAUGUAUAACUAAUUUAAUGCGGAACUACUGUUAGAUACGCAGGUUCUUCAGGGACACCUAAUCUGUAGCCCCGCCUUAGCUCUGAAGCUCUAAUUGGCAGCCGAUGUAGCUGAGAUC